AUAAUGCAUCAAUUUCGCAUCGUUAUUGAUGCCAAAGGAGCAAUCCGCCUUUAGAUGAGCUCGCGUCUGGAUUAGCUAGUAGGUGAGGUAACGGCUCACCUAGGCGACGAUACAUAGCCGACCUGAGAGGGUGAUCGGCCACACUGGGACUGAGACACGGCCCAGACUCCUACGGGAGGCAGCAGUAGGGAAUCUUCGGCAAUGGGGGCAACCCUGACCGAGCAACGCCGCGUGAGUGAAGAAGGUUUUCGGAUCGUAAAGCUCUGUUGUAAGCCAAGAACGAGUGUGAGAGUGGAAAGUUCACACUGUGACGGGUAGCU
rnacentral:rRNA from 1 species